rnacentral:rRNA from 1 species
CCUACGGGAGGCAGCAGUGAGGAAUAUUGGUCAAUGGGCUUACGCCUGAACCAGCCAAGUCGCGUGAGGGAAGACUGCCCUAUGGGUUGUAAACCUCUUUUGUCAGGGAGCAACGCCGGCUACGUGUAGCCGGACUGAGAGCACCUGCAGAAAAAGCAGCGGCUAACUCCGUGCCAGCGGCCGCGGUAAUACGGAGGAUGCGAGCGUUAUCCGGAUUUAUUGGGUUAAAAGGGUGCGUAGGCGGAAUGCCAAGUCAGCGGUAAAAUCGCGGGGCUCAACCUCGCUCCGCCGUUGAAACUGGCGUUCUUGAGUGGGCGAGAAGUAUGCGGAAUGCGUGGUGUAGCGGUGAAAUGCAUAGAUAUCACGCAGAACCCCGAUUGUGAAGGCAGCAUGCCGGCUUCCGACUGACGCUGAGGCACGAAAGCGUGGGGAUCGAACAGGAUUAGAUACCCUUGUAGUC